rnacentral:rRNA from 1 species
GGGUUCUUCGGGGGGGCGGCCCCUGUUACGGGGCAGUCUGUUCCCGCCGAAGCAACGUCUGAGGUAUGUUCACAGGGUUGGUGGUUGUAUAACUCGGUAAUGUUUCCGUAGGUGAACCUGCGGAGGGAUCAUUACCGAGUUAUACAACUCAUCAACCCUGUGAACAUACCUAAAACGUUGCUUCGGCGGGAACAGACGGCCCCGUAACACGGGCCGCCCCCGCCAGAGGACCCCCUAACUCUGUUUCUAUUAUGUUUCUUCUGAGUAAAACAAGCAAAUAAAUUAAAACUUUCAACAACGGAUCUCUUGGCUCUGGCAUCGAUGAAGAACGCAGCGAAAUGCGAUAAGUAAUGUGAAUUGCAGAAUUCAGUGAAUCAUCGAAUCUUUGAACGCACAUUGCGCCCGCCAGUAUUCUGGCGGGCAUGCCUGUUCGAGCGUCAUUACAACCCUCAGGCCCCCGGGCCUGGCGUUGGGGAUCGGCGAGGCGCCCCCUGCGGGCACACGCCGUCCCCCAAAUACAGUGGCGGUCCCGCCGCAGCUUCCAUUGCGUAGUAGCUAACACCUCGCAACUGGAGAGCGGCGCGGCCACGCCGUAAAACCCCCAACUUCUGAAUGUUGACCUCGAAUCAGGUAGGAAUACCCGCUGAACUUAAGCAUAUCAAUAAGGCGGAGGA